rnacentral:lncRNA from 1 species
CUGAACUUCAGAAUUUGGGGAUCUGGGAGUGGUCACAUGGUAUGGGCAUGGCGUGUUACAAUCCACAGUGUAGUCAGAUGUAGCAGACUGUGCCCAAGUGUGGGCACAUUUUUUAAAGAUGUGGAAUCAAGGUGUUUUCUCCCUAGACUGUAGGAGGAAAAUCCGUGUGUGUUGUGUCAGUUCAAGACAAGAUUUACCACCAGAUGAGUGGAGCUCAUGUAAAGUGUUCUCGGCUGAGUGAGGAAGAAAGAAGGAAUGAACUGUGGAAAACACGCCAGAAGCUAUGGACUCUGUACAGACUGGAUCCCAGGGACCUCAGAAGGCGCCUCGGUUUGAGAAGCACGGACUUUAUGUGUUCUUCUAAUACUUCAUCCUUUGCCCUUCAAGGUGGACCUCGGGUACUGUAUUGACCACUGUCCGCUUCAUCUAUACAACUGAACUAGGUCAAAUAGAUACAGAUCAUGACUGCUGUAGAAAGGGGUUUGGAGGAACCCCAUAACAAUUAUCUUUUAAACUUUUGGUUUGUUUGUUUGGAAACUGAAGCCUCUCACUGUUAAAGGGCUUUCUUAAGAUUAUAGACCAUCCUUUAGACCAUCCUUGAACUCGACUAGUCAUAUAGAAUGCACAGGAGCACACAGAGCAUUCUGCAUCCACUAACUACCUUUCUCUCCUUCCAUGUGACCUGAGCGGAUCAGGUCAAGUUAUGCAAUCUCUACAAACUGAGGUAAAUACAUCUCCAACUUCUUUGAGCUGCUGGGGUUCCUUUAAAUACUGUAUACUCAGUUAAAAAUACUCUUACUAGUUGCUUGGCUUUGGGUUUGGGUCAAGUAUCCUGCCUCCAUGUGUGUCUGGUGUAGCCCUUCUUAGAGCUGCGGAACAGAAGGAGUAGGACGUGUUGUGAUUGGGACUGUAGCUCACCGGUAGCUUGCCUAGCAUGAAGGACGCUCUGAGUUCAGUCCCCAGGAUCAUACAAAGUGGUCACAGUGGUACAUGCUUAGGAUCCUGUCACUUGCAAGGCAGAGAAGAGAGGAUCAGAGGUUCCAGGCCAUUCAUUCUCUGCUGUGGAGGGAGGUGAGGUCAGGCUUGGAAACAUGAGACCAUGUUAGGAAGGAAAGAAGGAAGAAAGGAAGGGAGCGUGGAAGGGAGGAUGGGAAGGAAGGUGGGAGAGAUGGCUCAGUGGUUAAGAUUAGUGUUUAUAAUUUUCACAGAGGACCAGGUUCAGUUCCCAUGGAGGAGCUGGAGUCUGUAACUCCAGGUCCAGGGGAUCAGGUGCCUCUUCUGACCCUUGUGGGCACUCUGAGCACGUGAUGCAC